GUGUCAGCCGCCGCGGUAAUACGGAGGAUCCAAGCGUUAUCCGGAAUCAUUGGGUUUAAAGGGUCCGUAGGCGGGCUUCUAAGUCAGUGGUGAAAUCCGGCAGCUUAACUGUCGAACUGCCAUUGAUACUGGAAGUCUUGAAUUACUAUGAAGUGGUUAGAAUAUGUAGUGUAGCGGUGAAAUGCUUAGAUAUUACAUGGAAUACCAAUUGCGAAGGCAGAUCACUAAUAGUACAUUGACGCUGAGGGACGAAAGCGUGGGUAGCGAACAGGAUUAGAUACCCUGGUAGUCCACGCCGUAAACGAUGGAUACUAGCUGUUGGGCGCAAGCUCAGUGGCUAAGCGAAAGUGAUAAGUAUCCCACCUGGGGAGUACGUUCGCAAGAAUGAA
rnacentral:rRNA from 1 species